GCAAAGGUCCUCAGACAGAAGAGGUGUCGGGAUGUUGGAUAACAAACUCUUCAGCAACAAGCGGACUGUGCUCCUUUGAAUCAAAUGGGAGAAAAGAGCCCUCCAACUCUCGAUGAGUGGCUUGUUGUUGGAGAGUAUGGGGCCAGGCUGCCAGAGUGGGAGAACACAAUACCUGAGAGAGAGAGGGAGGAAGACAGAGAGAGAAUGACAAAGACACCAAUGAAUCAAAAGCAGCAGCUGGAAGGAAGCAGAGCUUGUUAGCGGUGCUUUCCAGGGAACCUCUCCCUCAAACAUCCGACAGCCUCGCUCUGAUCGAUAGCUGUCUUUCUGUGCCGUUGUCUGCCUUUGCUCGUCGCUUGGAACUAAGUGUUGCAGUGCUUCAAAAUAAAUGGACUGAAUUACUCUGUGCCCCAUAAGGACGUUAGACUUUGUGCAAUGGUUGACACCGAGUGACAUGUUUAUACAUUUUAUUAUUUUUUUAAGGAGAAAGAGCUGUCGACUGCCUUUAGUAUUUCUUAAGAGACAUUCUAAAAGUUGAGAAUCACACAGUGGGGGAGAUGUACAGUGUGAGUGGAAAGUAUUAGGACAGUGACACAUUUUUUGUUAAGUUGGCUCCAGAAUACUGUUUAAAAUAAAAUAAUAAAGCAGUGACAGCCAGCUCUA